GUUCCCAUCGAUUAGUGGUUAGAUCAUGACGUUGUGGUUAUUCAUUGUAAUGAUUCCGUCAAGACGCGUGUUCGACUCACGCUGGGAACA